ensembl:lncRNA
GCAGCUUUGGGACUUCUACUUGUGGUUUCUCCCGGCCCUGUGCACCUAGAUGGACGGUCUGAGCUCGCUACCCAUGUUUUCAAAGUUAACCAGUUACACACACGCACACAUAAAGAUUCCAAGCAAAAGCACCAACCUGUUUGCUGUGGUCCAAGAAGAAAGUUUUCUAAUUUUUCUGCUUCACCCUUUCUGCGUUGUCGUCUUGUCUUUAGAGAGCAUGGUUUGCUGUUAUGUCCUGUAAGGCAGUUUUAAAAAGUCAAGGAAACUUUGGGGAAUUCCCUGGUAGCCUAGUGGUUGGGACGCUCUGCUUGGACUACAGGGGGCGCGAGUUCCAUCCGUGUUUCCGCGUGCCUGCGUGCUCAGUCGUCCGACUCUGCGGACCCCAUGGACUUUAGCCCGCCAGGCUCCUCUCUCCGUGGGAUUUUCCUGGCAAGAAUACUGGAGUGGGUUGCCAUGCCCUCUUCCAGGGGAUCUUCCCAAUCCAGGGGUCAAACCCGCAUCUCCUGCAUCUCUUGCAUUGGGAGGCGGAUUCUUUACCACUGAGCUACCUGGGAAGCCCAAGUUCCUGCACGCGUGCAUGAAUAAACUAGUCUCCUUUAAAAAAAAAGAAAAAGAAAUGCAUGGAACCGGUCUAGAAGAUUAGACAAGAAUCUGAUAACUGGAAUAUCCCCAGAGGAUAACUGGGUGGCUGAUGUUGACUGAAAUAAAAACGCACACCAUGAGAGCUAGCAGAGAGCCGCUCCUUUCUGAUCCUCCACGUGGAACUCUUUCCAGGGGGUGUUAAAGGUCAGUGACUGCAGUGGCCAAUGACUCAAUCCUUGUGGAGCCAGAUGGCCAGCCAUUAGUCAUCACUGGGAGGAGAUUGAAUGUUCACCUUUGUACUGUUUUGUAGUCUUUGAAUUUUGUGCCAUCUGCAUGGACUAGCCGGAAAAAAAAAAUCAAAGACACUAUUUUUUGUUUGACUUAGUAUGAAUAGAAUGCUAGAUUUCUAUUUUAUAUUCAAAACUUUGAUAUAGUUCCAUGUAUUUUGGCAUCUACUAUUACUGCUAAAAGUCUAGAAAGUUUAUUAUCUUAGUGAUUUAAAAAAAUUUUUUGAAAGAGGCUUGAAACUUCUAAUCCAAUUCUGAGAAUAUAAAAAAAUACUAUGUUGUAAAAAAAUCAAAGCACAGGGAAUUAACA